GCACAAGCGGUGGAGCAUGUGGUUUAAUUCGAAGCAACGCGAAGAACCUUACCAGGUCUUGACAUCCUCUGACAAUCCUAGAGAUAGGACUUUCCCCUUCGGGGGACAGAGUGACAGGUGGUGCAUGGUUGUCGUCAGCUCGUGUCGUGAGAUGUUGGGUUAAGUCCCGCAACGAGCGCAACCCUUAUUCUUAGUUGCCAGCAUUAAGUUGGGCACUCUAAGGAGACUGCCGGUGACAAACCGGAGGAAGGUGGGGAUGACGUCAAAUCAUCAUGCCCCUUAUGACCUGGGCUACACACGUGCUACAAUGGAUGGUACAAAGGGCUGCAAAACCGCGAGGUCAAGCCAAUCCCAUAAAACCAUUCUCAGUUCGGAUUGUAGGCUGCAACUCGCCUACAUGAAGCCGGAAUCGCUAGUAAUCGUGGAUCAGCAUGCCACGGUGAAUACGUUCCCGGGC
rnacentral:rRNA from 1 species